rnacentral:rRNA from 1 species
UGGGGUAAAGGCCUACCAAGGCAUCGAUCUGUAGCUGGUCUGAGAGGACGAUCAGCCACACUGGAACUGAGACACGGUCCAGACUCCUACGGGAGGCAGCAGUGGGGAAUUUUCCGCAAUGGGCGAAAGCCUGACGGAGCAAUACCGCGUGAGGGACGAAGGCUUUUGGGUCGUAAACCUCUUUUCUCAAGGAAGAUGAUGACGGUACUUGAGGAAUAAGCAUCGGCUAACUCUGUGCCAGCAGCCGCGGUAAUACAGAGGAUGCAAGCGUUAUCCGGAAUGAUUGGGCGUAAAGCGUCCGCAGGUGGUUUAGAAAGUCUGCUGUUAAAGCGUGUAGCUCAACUACAUACAGGCAGCGGAAACUAUUAGACUAGAGUAUGUUAGGGGUAGAGGGAAUUCCCAGUGUAGCGGUGAAAUGCGUAGAGAUUGGGAAGAACACCGGUGGCGAAAGCGCUCUGCUAGGACAAUACUGACACUGAGGGACGAAAGCUAGGGGAGCGAAUGGGAUUAGAUACCCCAGUAGUCCUAGCCGUAAACGAUGGAUACUAGGCGUUGCCCGUAUCGACCCGGGCAUUGUCGUAGCUAACGCGUUAAGUAUCCCGCCUGGGGAGUACGCACGCAAGUGUGAAACUCAAAGGAAUUGACGGGGGCCCGCACAAGCGGUGGAGUAUGUGGUUUAAUUCGAUGCAACGCGAAGACCUUACCAGGACUUGACAUGUCGCGAAUCUUUGGGAAACUAGAGAGUGCCUUCGGGAGCGCGACCACAGGUGGUGCAUGGCUGUCGUCAGCUCGUGUCGUGAGAUGUUGGGUU